CAGUAGCCGCGGUAAUGCGUAGGUGGCAAGCGUUGUCCGGAAUUAUUGGGCGUAAAGGGCUCGCAGGCGGUUUCUUAAGUCUGAUGUGAAAGCCCCCGGCUCAACCGGGGAGGGUCAUUGGAAACUGGGAAACUUGAGUGCAGAGGAGGAGAGUGGAAUUCCACGUGUAGCGGUGAAAUGCGUAGAGAUGUGGAGGAACACCAGUGGCGAAGGCGACUCUCUGGUCUGUAACUGACGCUGAGGAGCGAAAGCGUGGGGAGCGAACAGGAUUAGAUACCCCUGUAGUCCCUGUCUCUUAUAC
rnacentral:rRNA from 1 species